GGGGGAGGGGGCUUGCCAUGACCCAGUCGGCUGAGGCCUGGGGACAGAUCCUGAAAGGAGAAAGUGCUGCUAGAUGGAAAUUUGGACAUAGGGAGUGUACACAGGGAGAAGGCCAUGUGAAAAUGAAGACAGAGACAGAGGAGGGAUGCUUUCUACAUUUCAAGGAAUGCCAAAGGUUUUCAGCAGACCACCCCGGAAACUAGAGGAGAGGCAUGGAACAGAUUCGUCCUCGCAGCCUCGGAAAGAACCAACCCUGAUGAACACCUUGAUCUUGAACUUGUAGCCUCCGGAACUGGGAAACAAUAAACUUCUGUUGUUUAAGCCAC